AUUUCCGACCAUAUUAACGCAGCUGGUGGAAGAUAAGAACUAAGGAUACCCAUGAGCAGCUGAUUUUGAUUCUUCAAAAUCUUCCUUAAAAUCUACCCCAUAUUAAUUAUAUACAAAAUACGAAUCAACUUGUCAUUCUCGUCUCCUUUCUCUGCAUCCAUUUCAGUUUCAUUCUUCUUCUUCUCUCUCGAAUUCAUCUCACCAACAAUGGCUAUCAAUCAACUCCUUCGUUCCACUCUCAGGUCUCAGUUAGGUACCUUUGCAAAAACCGUUAUUUCUUCUGGAAGAGCUUCACAGGAACAUGCCAUCUUGGCUCCUUUCUUGUCCCGCUUACACAGUACUCAGGCUUCAGCACAAAAAGAGGAUUCAGGGUUUAAGGGGCAUGAUAUGCUUGCGCCUUUUACUGCAGGAUGGCAGACCACUGAUGUUAAUCCACUAAUUAUAGAAAGAUCGGAGGGUUCAUAUGUAUAUGACAUUGAUGGAAGGAAGUACCUUGAUUCUCUUGCUGGUCUAUGGUGCACAUCUUUAGGGGGAAAUGAAUCACGACUUGUGGCAGCUGCAAUGAAACAAUUAAAUACCUUGCCAUUUUACCACUCCUUUUGGAAUCGUACUACUAGGCCUUCUUUGGAUCUGGCAAAGGAUCUACUUGAAAUGUUUACAGCUAGAAAAAUGGGAAAAGUAUUUUUUGUGAACAGUGGUUCAGAAGCCAAUGAUACCCAGGUCAAGCUGGUGUGGUACUAUAACAAUGCACUUGGAAGACCUGAUAAAAAAAAGUUCAUUGCUCGCUCAAAGUCUUAUCAUGGUUCAACAUUGAUAUCAGCUAGUCUUACUGGCCUUCCAGCUUUGCACCAGAAGUUUGACAUUCCAGCUCCAUUUGUUCUGCACACUGAUUGUCCACAUUACUGGCGUUUCCAUCUUCCAGGUGAGACAGAGGAAGAGUUCUCAACCAGACUAGCCAAAAACUUAGAAGACCUUAUAAUCAAGGAGGGACCGGAGACGAUUGCUGCAUUCAUAGCUGAACCUGUCAUGGGGGCCGGUGGUGUGAUUCCUCCACCAGCUACUUAUUUUGAAAAGAUCCAAGCUGUGGUCAAGAAGUACGAUAUACUUUUUAUUGCCGAUGAGGUCAUAUGUGCCUUUGGAAGACUAGGGACAAUGUUUGGAUGCGAUAAAUACAAUAUUAAACCAGAUCUUGUAUCUCUUGCAAAGGCACUUUCCUCGGGUUACAUGCCUAUUGGAGCUGUUAUUGUGAGCCCCGAAAUCUCUGAUGUGAUUCACUCUCAAAGCAACAAGCUAGGUUCCUUUUCUCAUGGAUUUACUUAUUCUGGACACCCGGUGGCAUGUGCUGUUGCAAUUGAAACACUCAAGAUUUAUAAGGAAAGGAAUAUUGUGGAGAAAGUAAAUAGCAUCUCCUCAAGAUUUCAAGAUGGUCUAAAAGCUUUCUCUGAUAGCCCUAUUGUUGGAGAGAUACGGGGGACUGGCUUGAUCUUAGGCACAGAGUUUGUAGACAAUAAAUCACCAAAUGAUCCAUUCCCUCCUGAAUGGGGAGUUGGGGCAUAUUUUGGAGCCGAAUGUCAGAAAAAUGGUAUGCUAGUACGUGUUUCAGGGGACACUAUAAUGAUGUCUCCACCAUUUAUCAUCUCUCCUCAAGAAGUUGAUGAGUUAAUCAGCAUUUAUGGGAAGGCACUGAAGGCUACUGAAGAAAGAGUGAAGGAAUUGAAGGCUCAGAGGUAGCUCCAAAUACUUCACAACAAAUGGCCUGAGGGAACCAAGUCUCGAGGAACAAAGAAGACGUCCUUGUCCCUGAUGGCCAAAUGCUUGAUGGUGGCGAAAAGUUAAUGAGCUUGUGUCUAAGACAUGAGCGAGGGGUCGCAGGCUCAUCGGCGAGAGAGAGGAGAUCGAGUGAGAAUCAAGAACGAGAUGCUCAAUUUAUAUGCACGAUGUUCCGUUUUGGUUAUUUCACCCAAAUAAGCGAAAGAGCAAAAAUACUUGAAAAUUUAAAAAGUAGUAGGUCAUAGAAACUUAAAAUCAAAGCAUCGAGUCUCCAAUACAGAUUUAGUGAGAAAGAGGAAGGAAGGGAAAUUGGAUGAACCGCAGGAAAAGAGGUUUCCAAUGCUGGGGAUUGUUGCAGCUGCAGCCAUCACUUUUUACGCCAUAAGCUUUUUAAAGCUUCGACAGGUACACCUUUCUUCAACUUCAUCCCUAUUUUCAUUUUUCAUACCUUUUAGAUCGGGAGAAUGUAAAGAAAUCGUUCAAAGAUUUGAAUGAAUCAGAGAAUCAAAAGGGAGGGUGUCUGAUGAUUUCGCAAGAUGGAAGGCUGAAAAGGGAAAAGGAAGCUUUAAAGACGAUAAUUUUCUGUGAGAUAAUUUGCCUCUUUUACAAACCUUUCAUUUCUUAUUUUGCUAUGUCUGUUAAGGAUUCAAUAAAGGUUGCUUUUAUUCA